GACGUAGGGCGCGAGCGUUGUCCGGAUUUAUUGGGCGUAAAGAGCUCGUAGGCGGCUUGUCGCGUCGUCCGUGAAAACUUGGGGCUCAACCCCAAGCUUGCGGUCGAUACGGGCAGGCUAGAGUUCGGUAGGGGAGACUGGAAUUCCUGGUGUAGCGGUGAAAUGCGCAGAUAUCAGGAGGAACACCGGUGGCGAAGGCGGCAUCCUGGACCGGUAUGACGCUGAGGCGCGAAAGCUAGGGGAGCGAACGGG
rnacentral:rRNA from 1 species